rnacentral:rRNA from 1 species
AGAGUUUGAUCCUGGCUCAGGACGAACGCUUGCGGCGUGCCUAAGAAGUGCAAGUCGAACGGGGGCUUCGGCCCCAGUGGCGAACGGUCGCGUAACACGUAAGCAACCUGCCCUGAAGUGGGGGACAACAUUCCGAAAGGGGUGCUAAUACCGCAUGUGGUCACGAGUCGGCAUCGACUUGUGUCUAAAGAUUUAUCGCUUCAGGAUGGGCUUGCGGCCUAUCAGGUAGUUGGUGGGGUAAUGGCCUACCAAGCCGACGACGGGUAGCUGGUCUGAGAGGACGAUCAGCCGGAUUGGGACUGAGAUACGGCCCAGACUCCUACGGGGGGCAGCAAUUAGGAAUCUUGCGCAAUGGGGGAAACCCUGACGCAGCGACGUCGCGUGAAGGAUGAAGGCCCUCGGGUCGUAAACUUCUUUUGAGUGGGAAGAAAUUUGACGGUACCACUCGAAUAAGCCCCGGCUAACUACGUGCCAGCAGCCGCGGUAAUACGUAGGGGGCGAGCGUUGUCCGAAGUUACUGGGCGUAAAGCGCGCGUAGGCGGUUAUUUAAGUCUGGGGUGAAAGGUUCAGCGCUCAACGUGAACAGUGCCUUGGAUACUGGAUGACUUGAGUCUGGGAGGGGGAAGGGGAAUUCA